AGCGAGGAAGGGAGGAGAGAUGGAGGAGCGCGCACCCAUUUCUCAGAGUGUUCCUCCGCAUAGCUCAUUCGUUUUAUCGUCUCGAACGGGACGAGCCGCGUCACUGCCGUGACACAGUGAUAAACAGCCGCUUUUGUCGUAAGUCAAGUCGCCGUAAAAUCUUGGGCAUUACUUGUCGCCCGGUGUUUACCAAGUCGGAAUGACUUGACAACGUGAAUAUAGUUAGCGCUAGAUCUUCGCUGCCACGCCACGCCAUGCCAUGCCAUGGCGUGCCAUGCCGGUUCGUUCAUUCGGCAUCCGACUGGCAUUUGUCAUCGCUACCAGCCAAGAGAGAUUGAAUAAUUGCCACGUUUAUACGUACGAUUUAACUGUUCAAUUUUAACGAAUGCUGGCCGACGUAAAAUUAUGCCUGCCUGAAUUGAUCUAAUGCUAGGUUCAGAGUAUAUAUUACUGAAUCCUAAUGAUCAUGGGUUAUUACAAUGCAAAUGUUUUACUAAGUUUUUUUUUAUCAAGUCCCGAUUUGCCAAUAAAUUUCCUCCUCCUGCAGUCAGGAUGUUCGUGAAUGAUAGUGCAAGUAUCUACGUAGCUAGCAGGCCAACCCAGUCGUCGUCGAGGUAUCCGUCGUCUAACGACAAGAAGAAGAAGAAGGUGCACUGCCAUCGCAUUGCGCCGCGGGUUCGCCUGAGUGAUGAAGUGAGUGCGGAGUGAGGCCUAUUUUUGUGCUCACCGACAGCGACAGUUGUAAAUGCGGUAGUAAGUGAAAGACAGUCAUCCGGAACCAGCAUAAUCUGACAGUUACGUCCUGAUCUUCGUCGAUCGUGACGAAGUAUAUUAACUUCUUAAGGAGUUAAACGUAUCAACUAUAAAUAUAAAGAAUCGUCGCUGUGGCGAUCCACUCCCUGGCGUGGAUUCCAUCAUCGAUGAAAAUAGCCGGCUUAUUAGCAACGCCAGUCGACAGCUUGAAAACCUUAAUCGAUCUUCCUCGCAAGAAUCACCUAUGCUAAUUAAUCAUUUCGCUUCUGCCGUUGUCACGUGGCAACCGAACGAGAUACAGUUCUAAAAUUCUUAUGCAACUGUUAUUUAAAAACAUUUUUAACUCUGUCUAUUUGUAUCAGAAUUGAACAAUAAAUAAUUCGAGAGUGAAAGAAUUAA